UAAAUAAUCUCUGAAUUUCUAGUGCAG
rnacentral:piRNA from 1 species